rnacentral:tRNA from 1 species
GCCCGGUUAGCUCAGUUGGUUAGAGUACUUCCUUGACAUGGAAGGGGUCAGAGGUUCAAGUCCUCUAUCGGGCA